rnacentral:miRNA from 1 species
CUGGGUAGUUACUCCUUAUGUUACGCUCUGUGCUGCCAUUUGGGACCGUACCAAAGCGGAAUGGGGGGUACUGCUCCUGCGGCUUUUGAAACUG